GACGAACGCUGGCGGCGUGCCUAACACAUGCAAGUCGAACGGAAAGGCCCUGCCUUUGUGGGCUCCUCGAGUGGCGAACGGGUGAGUAGCACUUAGGUACGCUGCCCUUGCCUUUGGGGUAACUUCAGACAACUGGGGCUAAUACCGGCUAGGAUCUCCUGCUGCUUGGUGGGGCCUGGUAAGUUUCGGCAGUUGGGGAUGGACUCGCGGCUUAUCGGCUUGUUGGUGUGGUAGUGGCUUACCAAGGCUAUGACGGGUAGCCGGCCUGAGAGGGUGACAGGCCCCAGUGGGACUGAGAUGCGGCCCAGACUCCUACGGGAGGCAGCGGUGGGGAAUAUAGCACAAUGCGCGGAAGGAUGGUGCAGCAACGCCGCGUGGGGGAUGUCGGCCUUCGGGUUGGAAACCGCUUUCGCUUGUGACGAAGCGAUAGUGACGGUAACGGGUAAAGAAGCACCGGCUAACUACGUG
rnacentral:rRNA from 1 species